rnacentral:rRNA from 1 species
AGGAUGAACGCUGGCGGCGUGCUUAACACAUGCAAGUCGAACGAUGAUCCUCAGCUUGCUGGGGGGAUUAGUGGCGAACGGGUGAGUAACACGUGAGUAACCUGCCCUUGACUCUGGGAUAAGCCUGGGAAACCGGGUCUAAUACUGGAUAUGACCUUCUGGCGCAUGCCAUGUUGGUGGAAAGCUUUAUUGCGGUUUUGGAUGGACUCGCGGCCUAUCAGCUUGUUGGUGGGUAAUGGCCUACCAAGGCGACGACGGGUAGCCGGCCUGAGGAGGGUGGACGGCCACACUGGGACUGAGACACGGCCCAGACUCCGUACGGGAGGCAGCAGGUAGGGGAAUAUUGCACAAGUGGGCGCAAGCCUGAU